UACAGAGGUCUCAAGCGUUGUUCGGAUUCAUUGGGCGUAAAGGGUGCGUAGGCGGCGCGGUAAGUCGGAUGUGAAAUCUCGGAGCUUAACUUCGAAACUGCAUUCGAUACUGCCGUGCUUGAGGACUGGAGAGGAGACUGGAAUUUACGGUGUAGCGGUGAAAUGCGUAGAUAUCGUAAGGAAGACCAGUGGCGAAGGCGGGUCUCUGGACAGUUCCUGACGCUGAGGCACGAAGGCCAGGGGAGCAAACGGG
rnacentral:rRNA from 1 species